rnacentral:rRNA from 1 species
CCUACGGGAGGCAGCAGUGGGGAAUCUUGCGCAAUGGGCGAAAGCCUGAUGCAGCGACGCCGCGUGGGUGAUGAAGGUCUUCGGAUCGUAAACCUCUGUCAGCAGGGAAGAACGGUCACUGUACUAAUCAGCAGUGAAUUGACGGUACCUGCAAAGGAAGCACCGGCUAACUCCGUGCCAGCAGCCGCGGUAAUACGGAGGGUGCGAGCGUUAAUCGGAAUUACUGGGCGUAAAGCGCUCGUAGGCGGUAUGUCAAGUCAAGGGUGAAAUCCCCGCGCUCAACGUGGGAACUGCAUUUGAAACUGGCAAACUGGAGUGUGGGAGAGGAGAGUGGAAGUCCAGGUGUAGGAGUGAAAUCCGUAGAUAUAUGGAGGAACAUCAGUGGCGAAGGCGACUAUCUGGCACAUAACUGACGCUGAGGAGCGAAAGCGUGGGUAGCAAACAGGAUUAGAUACCCUGGUAGUC